UAUUGAUGAUAAGGGCAUUGAGCAAGUAAUAGCUUGAAUUGCUCCCAAGCUUCAUAAAUUGGCUCCCCUUCCAUUAUAGUUAAGGUGCAAAUCUCAUUCCUCAAAUC